rnacentral:ncRNA from 1 species
AGGAACCCGGUGCGAGUCCGGGGCGGUCCCGCCACUGUCACCGCCCGGCGCGCCACCGCCGGGCGGGGAGCCAGACACU